CACGUAGGGCGCAAGCGUUGUCCGGAAUUAUUGGGCGUAAAGGGCGCGUAGGCGAUUUGAAAAGUCUUGUGUGAAAGCCCCGAGCUUAACUCGGGAAGUGCACAAGAAACUGUUGAAUUUGAGUUCCGGAGAGGAAGGCAGAAUUCCCGGUGUAGCGGUGAAAUGCGUAGAUAUCGGGAGGAAUACCAGUGGCGAAGGCGGCCUUCUGGACGGAUACUGACGCUGAGGCGCGAAAGCCAGGGGAGCAAACGGG
rnacentral:rRNA from 1 species